rnacentral:misc_RNA from 1 species
GCACCUCAACUCUCGUGGUCUUCCAUGAUGAGCUUGGACUUUGGGGGUCUUGUUGGCCUGUGAGCCAGCUCCUCUUAAAUGAAUCAGCUUGCCAGUGUUUGGUGGCAUCACGAGUGUGAUAACUAUCUACGCUUGUGAUUUCCCACCAGGUAACCUUCAGCAAUGGAGGUUCGCUGGAGCUUAUAAAUGUCUCUCCUCGGCGAAGACACAUUUUGACC